CCCUGAUGCUAAAAGGACAAGGUGAUCUUCAAAUUCUGUUUUCAGUGUGAUCAUGUUGCUGUCUCCUCCACAUUCUUCAGUAGCAUCUGGGUACUGACUUUUCAAUGAUGUGUCUUAAGAUGGAUCUAUUGCUAUUCAUAGGACUGGGAACAUGGUCACAUGGAGAAAACUGAGGACCAGCGAAGUGGCCUGCAGAAGUAACAAACUCCUUAACAAGUGCUAUGGCACCAGCUCAUCAGAAUGGACACUGGCUUUAAUGACUUUUGCAUUUCUGAAACCAGAUGACUUCACUGGAUGACUCCACUGAGACCCAAGACUCAAGACCCGACCAGUCCUGUGGCCCUCACGUCUACACAGUAUGUGUGAGGUUCAAUCUGACUAUCCAUCCUUUAUGGAAAUGCUACAUUACACAUUAACUCAAAGGCUGAGAAUCCAUUAAGUCAAGGACAGCUGGAUUGAUAAAGGGGACUGAGCAUGCCUGUCUUAUCCAGGCACCCGGUAAACAAGCCAGGCUCCAGUGCGGGUCCCC